rnacentral:rRNA from 1 species
UACGUAGGGUGCGAGCGUUGCUCGGAAUCACUGGGCGUAAAGGGUGCGUAGGCGGUCUCGCAAGUCUGGCGUGAAAGCCCAAGGCUCAGCCUUGGAAGUGCGCUCGAAACGGCGAGGCUGGAGUGCCGGAGGGGAGAGUGGAAUUCCCGGUGUAGCGGUGAAAUGCGCAGAUAUCAGGAGGAACACCGAUGGCGAAGGCAGGUCUCUGGGCAUUAACUGACGCUGAGGAGCGAAAGCAUGGGGAGCGAACAGG